rnacentral:rRNA from 1 species
GACGUAGGGGACGAGCGUUGUCCGGAUUUAUUGGGCGUAAAGAGCGCGUAGGCGGCUUGGUAAGUCGGAUGUGAAAUCCCGGGGCUCAACCCCGUGACUGCACCCGAAACUGCCCGGCUAGAGGUAGGUAGGGGAGAUCGGAAUUCCUGGUGUAGCGGUGAAAUGCGCAGAUAUCAGGAGGAACACCGGUGGCGAAGGCGGGUCUCGGGACAGUUCCUGACGCUCAGGCACGAAAGCCAGGGGAGCAAACGGG